rnacentral:lncRNA from 1 species
CUUUUGUUGACCUUAAACCAACAGAUAUCAGUUAUUUCUCCAGCAAAAUAUGAGUGUAUUCAGGAGCAGCAAAGAAUUGCACUUCAGGGUCUGCAACCACGGCGAGUCACAUCCACGGCCAAUGGAAGCUUCCUUUGCCGGGUGAGAUGGAAGUGGACUCUCAGAUUGGCGCUGAAAAGGAAGAAGAAUGGAGGGGGGGGUCCCAGGGGGGCCACUUACUUCCCAGUGCUUUUCUGGGCCUUUUUCCUCCUCCUCCUCCUCCCAAGUUUCGAAUAAAGACAGCUGCUUCUUUGAGAACGCUUACCAGUGCUCAGCUUGGUUCAAGGAUAAAAAGAGAGUCAGAAAUGAAUAAUUCUGAAUACUUUACUGUGGAAUUCUCCUAAUGUCCCAAACUGAAGUCUGUUUCGUUGCCUGGGUUGGAAAGUAAGAUUCAUUAUGAAUUUAUUUCUCCCGCAACUUCUGCUGCAGAAAUCUCCAUGAUUCUAGGAUUUGGAUGCAUUCUAGGAUGCAGUCUAUGCAGGGUAAAGGGACAGAGGAAGGGACAACAAGCAAUGCAUGUUACAAUUUAGGCUAUAGUUUAGGCCAUGUGUUAGACUCAUCUGUAGCUCCAGUACCUUGAAAUACUUGGAUGGACCCAGAGAUAAAUCAGAGUGGAGAAAGGAUUUGGAGUAACUAGAUGGCUCCAAAAUGCCUCCCAGAAGGCUGAUUGGAGUCUGAGUUCCUCUCAGACAGCACAGAAUUGGAUUGUUUAACUUGAUGUCCCCACCCCGUCUUCAGCAGCCCCACCAACAUGCAGCCCAGUCUCGG